rnacentral:rRNA from 1 species
UACGUAGGUGGCAAGCGAUACUCGGAAUCACUAGGCGUAAAGCGCAGGUAGGCGGUUUGGUAAGUCUUUUUGUGAAAGCUCCCGGCUCAACUGGGAGAGGUCAAGGGAAACUACCAGGCUAGAGUGUGGCAGAGGAAAACUGGAAUUCCCCGGUGUAGCGGUGAAAUGCGUAGAUAUCGGGAGGAACACCUAUGGCGAAAGCAGGUUUCUGGGCCAUCACUGACGCUGAGCUGCGAAAGCUAGGGGAGCAAACAGG